CCAAUAGCGUAUAUUAAAGUUGCUGCAGUUAAAAAGCUCGUAGUUGAAUUUCGGGACCAUCAUGUCGGUCGUGCCUCGGUACGUACUGGCAUUGUUGGUUUCUCCCUUCUGACGAACCAUGAUGUCAUUUAUUUGGUGUUGUGGGGAAUCAGGACUGUUACUUUGAAAAAAUUAGAGUGUUUAAAGCAGGCUCACGCUUGAAUACAUUAGCAUGGAAUAAUGAAAUAGGACGUUUGAUUCUAUUUUGUUGGUUUCUAGGAUCGACGUAAUGAUUAAUAGGGAUAGUUGGGGGCAUUAGUAUUCGAUUGUCAGAGGUGAAAUUCUUGGAUUUAUUGAAGACUAACUACUGCGAAAGCAUUUGCCAAGGAUGUUUUCAUUAAUCAAGAACGAAAGUUAGGGGAUCGAAGACGAUCAGAUACCGUCGUAGUCUUAACCAUAAACUAUGCCGACUAGGGAUCGGAUGAUGUUAAUUUUUUAAUGACUCAUUCGGCGCCUUACG
rnacentral:rRNA from 1 species